AAUAGAUACCCAGGUAGUCCACGCCGUAAACGUUGGGCGCUAGAUGUGGGGGCCAUUCCACGGUUUCCGCGUCGUAGCUAACGCAUUAAGCGCCCCGCCUGGGGAGUACGGCCGCAAGGCUAAAACUCAAAGGAAUUGACGGGGGCCCGCACAAGCGGCGGAGCAUGCGGAUUAAUUCGAUGCAACGCGAAGAACCUUACCAAGGCUUGACAUAUACGAGAACACUGCAGAAAUGUAGGACUCUUUGGACACUCGUAUACAGGUGGUGCAUGGUUGUCGUCAGCUCGUGUCGUGAGAUGUUGGGUUAAGUCCCGCAACGAGCGCAACCCUCGUCGCAUGUUGCCAGCACGUAAAGGUGGGAACUCAUGUGAGACUGCCGGGGUCAACUCGGAGGAAGGUGGGGAUGACGUCAAAUCAUCAUGCCCCUUAUGUCUUGGGCUUCACGCAUGCUACAAUGGCCGGUACAAAGGGCUGCAAUACCGUAAGGUGGAGCGAAUCCCAAAAAGCCGGUCUCAGUUCGGA
rnacentral:rRNA from 1 species